rnacentral:rRNA from 1 species
GAAUAUUGGGCAAUGGGCGAGAGCCUGACCCAGCCAUGCCGCGUGCAGGAAGACGGCCUAUUGGGUUGUAAACUGCUUUUAUCUGGGAAGAAAAGGCCCGUGCGCGGGACAUUGCCGGUACCAGAUGAAUAAGCACCGGCUAACUCCGUGCCCGCAGCCGCGGUAAUACGGAGGGUGCAAGCGUUGUCCGGAUUUAUUGGGUUUAAAGGGUGCGUAGGCGGCUGUUUAAGUCAGCGGUGAAAGACAUCGGCUCAACCGAUGCAGUGCCGUUGAUACUGGAUGGCUUGAGUGUUGGAGGGGUACAUGGAAUUGAUGGUGUAGCGGUGGAAUGCAUAGAUACCAUCAGGAACACCGAUAGCGAAGGCAUUGUACUGGCCAACAACUGACGCUGAGGCACGAAAGCAUGGGGAGCGAACAGG